rnacentral:rRNA from 1 species
UACGUAGGGCGCAAGCGUUAUCCGGAAUUAUUGGGCGUAAAGAGCUUGUAGGCGGUUUGUCGCGUCUGCUGUGAAAUUUCGGGGCUCAACCCCGAACUUGCAGUGGGUACGGGCAGACUAGAGUGUGGUAGGGGAGACUGGAAUUCCUGGUGUAGCGGUGAAAUGCGCAGAUAUCAGGAAGAACACCCGUGGCGAAGGCGGCUCUCUGGGACGGUACUGACGCUGAGACGCGAAAGCGUGGGGAGCGAACAGG